GGCUCGUUGGUCUAGCUGUAUGAUUCCUGCUUAGGGUGCAGGAGGUCCCGGGUUCAAAUCCCGGACGAGCCC
rnacentral:tRNA from 1 species